UGCCGGGGCGCGAGCGGGGCGGCCAUGUCUUCAGAUGCGCAGUGGUUGACGCCAGAGGAGAGGAGCCAGCUUAUUCCUGACUUGAAAGCAGCAGGGUGGUCGGAGUUGAGCGAGAGAGACGCCAUCUACAAAGAGUUCUCCUUCAAAAAUUUUAACCAGUUUCAGGGCCUGUGUGAUGAUGUCAAGUGAUGUUGGGGACGCUGGUGCUGCUGUCCACUGAGGAAGGGGGCUGCAGCCGAUGGCAUUGUCUUGGGGCUCUUGAUUCCGCUGUUCGUACCAGGUAACAGGUGUAGCGCUCGUGUGUAUUAGUAGACUUUGCACACAGACUGGCCGGGGGCAAAUGUAAAACAGGUGUCAGUAAGGUAACUGAUGCCGCACAGCGUAAAAACCGCUGUGCUCACCACGCCGCCCUUUAAUAAAAAUGGGCUUCUGACUAUAUCGGUUCUUCUUGCCCACGCAGUAAAUCUCAUGUUUACAGAAAUUAGCCCAAGCAUUUUAUAAAAGUCAGACAGCCAAGAAAUAUAAUUUCCUCAACAGUGUUUGUCUUGCCCUCUCGCAGACGGCACAAAAUCAGGUGCGCGAAGAAUGAAAAAAAAAUAAAAGCAAUCUGAGCCGACGAGGACGGCGUUCCAGAUUUAUGCUUUGCAGAUGAUUCUGCUGGGGUUGAUGCGUUCACUGCUUCUUUAUUGCUUCCACAGAUAAUAGCCCUGCUGCUUGGAAAGCACGGCGAGU
rnacentral:lncRNA from 1 species